rnacentral:rRNA from 1 species
UGAGCAAUCUGCCCUUCUCUUUGGAAUAAGCGUUGGAAACGACGUCUAAUGCCGAAUACGACCUCCUUUCGCAUGAUCGGAGGUGGAAAGCUCCGGCGGUCAAGGAUGAGCUCGCGGCCUAUCAGCUUGUUGGUGGGGUGAUGGCCUACCAAGGCGACGACGGGUAGCCGGCCUGAGAGGGCGACCGACCACACUGGGACUGAGACACGGCCCAGACUCCUACGGGAGGNAGCG